ensembl:lncRNA
GAGGGUCUAAAGCUCCAACGCCCGCGGGCGAGCAGCACCAAACCCAGCUGCUUAGUCUCCUUCAGUUGCGGAUGAACAGCGCAUACAUGUUUGUUGCAAAGGCUUCUUACGUUGGCUGUAGCCACCACCGAGCAGUCCGGUAUCUAAGAAGAGAGGGAUAGAUACCCAAGCAACUCAUUCUGCAUAGCAGCUGCCAAGACAACCCUCCCUGUGCUGGAAUGUGCUCACUUGAAGUGAAGCUCGCAGCAUCCAGGCAACAUUCUCCUCCCCUGACCUGAAGACAUGGAUUCUGCCAAGCCCUGACUUGUCAUCCAUGAAUAUGGUACCAAGUGAAUCCAGUCUCUCAGUAUCAGUGAAAACAUGGAAGACUUCUGAACAUCAGCCCUGUUGGUGCAUGUGUGCCACCAUCAAACUUGGCCUCUGGUGCUUCAUCCUUCAUUUGGUAGAGGCUGCUGCCUCUGGUGAAUUGCAAGCUGCCCAUCCAGAUUCGAGCAAGCUCUAUUUGGCAUCAGUCCCAUCAUCUGAGGGCAGGGCAGCACCAGAGAGCCACAUCCUAAGGACAGCAGCUUCUCUCUGCAUUCCCCUCCCUCAUGGUACACAGAAGUCACGGUUUCUUCUAAUCUGUGGAUCCUGAUCCUGACCCUUUUGUUCCUGUCCCUCUACAUCCAUCAUCCUUCGAAAACCCAAGACAGUCAGUCGUGUCGUUAGCUCCGCCCUUUGUGGCAGCUCCAUAUUUAAUAUUGGUC